AAAGGUUCUGCUCCUGAUUUGAACAUGUGCCCCUUUGAGACCCUAAAUCCGAGAGGCAGGCCCUGACCGGUUGUGGCCACGUUCCCUUCUGGGGGCCUGUGUUUGGAGGAGAGGUGAGCCCUGACCGGCUGUGGCUACGUUCCCUUCUGGGGGCCUGUGUUUGGAGGAGAGCCUUUGAGCAUCACUUAGAGCAUCGCCCCCUAAACUCUGGUGUGACCUCUGGGCCUCCCGUAAAGGUGCGCAUCGUGACCCAGGAGGUCUGGGUGAGGCCUGAGGGCCUGCCUCUCACAGGCUCCCGGGGCAGUGCUCCCACGAGGCUCUAUGGGAGGGUCCUGUCCUUGCCUUUCAAGCUUCUUGGGGCUGUGCUCCCAACUUGCACUGUGGCCCCGAGUCACGUAUGCUUUCUCCUCUUCCAGUCUCUCUGUUCCUCCCUCUGACAGUGAUGGCUGUGACCGCACUGAGAGCUCACCA
ensembl:lncRNA